AAGCUUUAAAGGGUUUGCAAUGAAAAGUUGAAACUUUUGUUUAUGCGAAUUAACUUAUUUAUUUUCUAUAUAAUUUAUUAAUACAUAUAUGUAUUCGCUGUAAUGGCUUGGUCGAAGUGUUUAGUACUCCCAAUAGUGCAUGUUCGGUGGUCUCGGGUUCGAGUCUCGCUUUCGAUCCCUCGAUCUGCCACGUCUGUUCGAAGAGUAGUCUUCGUGGCAACUGGCAGUUAAACCGUGUAGUACCGAUGGAGGUUGGAAACAAUGCACAUCACUACCGGGUCUUGGGCAGUGCGAUAGCGAUGGGAUUCACCUUCGCAGGAUGUGCAUGGAAGUAUAAACACAACGGUCGUUUCUUCUUUUUUUCAUGAUUGAGCAAUACAACAUUGUUUGAGAAGCCUUACUGUUUUUGAAAUUGUUAAGAUAAUGAUUUGGCUAAUCGUAGUUGUUCACAUGCUAAUGUUGUUCUUACUCUUACCAUAUAGUUGUUAGGUUAGCGAAA
rnacentral:misc_RNA from 1 species